CUCCCCGCUGAGCCUCGAGGCAGGAGAGCUGGGGGUGGUGGGGGCCAGAUGAAAUCUGAAAUCCAGCCCCAACCUUGCAAUGGGUGCGCUCGUGCUCCUGGGUCUUCUUGAGCACUGUGGCUGUGGUGUGCCCUGAGCAGGAGGGCUUCCUUGGGGUCUGUUUGCUGAAAAUAUGCUGCUGGACUUGAAAGUAUUUCUCAGAAAGUGAUCUGAAUUGCAUUAACUUCUAAUCCCGUCUUUUUUUUUUUUUUUUAAUGCUUUUCUGGCUUCAGUGGAGAUUUAUGAAGUGCUGUGGCCUUGGCAAAGAUCAAUAGAUAGCCUGUUAAACAAAGACUCAGAAUUUACUGUUUGGAUGAUUUCAGGAGGGAAAAAAAUAAUUUGAAGUAUUUAAUUUAAUAUCGAGCUCAGUUUCGUAACAAGGAGGGACAGAGCCCCCAUCCUGAAUGAAAUGUGGAACUUUUAUUCCUAGACUGCCUGAAGCAUUUAAUUAACAUCCUGAGGAGUUAUAUUUGUACUGCGUGGUGACAAAGCUGCGAUAGUGGGAGGCUCCAGCUCCCAUUCUCUGCUGUUGCUGCAGGGCUGUGCCUGCCACCUUCCUUAAUCCAUCCAGAGCCACCCAAAAACCAGGCAGAUGUCCUCCCUCUCUCCUAUUCCUUACAAAAAAAAGCUCUCCUAGCCUUUUCCCUUUAGAUUAUUAGAGGCCUUCUCUCAGUUUCCAGCCUGAGGGUGUUUUUAACCAGCUUAUCCUGAUAUCUUCCCCUCAUUGACACCUCUGCUUUGUGCCAUGUUCUGGUUCCUUGUGCAAGGUUUGGUCUUCAGCAGGUCUCCUUCCUCUCCCCCGUGCCCAAAUACUUCAGAUUUUCAUUGUCUCCAACCUGGGUUAUCUUUAGCCCCUCUGCAUGUUCCUGGGACACCUGAGCUAACAGAGGGUGCAGCUGGGGCUCUGCCUUUUUUGGGGAUUUUGGAUUGAGGCCAUGGGCUGGGUGCUUGGUGAUCCUCCAGUGCUGAAAAUCUGCCUCUGAUACUUGAAAUUCAUCUCAUCACAGGGGCUCGGUGAUGCUCCAGACCUUGCUUUGACCCUUCCCGUGGGCAAACCCAUCCUGAGCAAAUUUUUUGACCGGUGCCUGUUUAUUAGCUCAGCGGGAGUGAAAACCUGCCAAGAACGUGGAGAGGAAGCAGGGGAGCAAUCCUCUCUUAUCUCCUUGGAAAUAAUGCGGCCAGGAAUGCUUGCUCCUUCUUGAAGCUUUAAAUUUAUGAAAGUGAACAAUAAUUUUGCAGCCUCUGAGAGUGAAAUGUGGGGGGAACAAACGCACCUUAUUGACUUUUUUAGCUGGAGCAGCGUGGGGAACAUUACUUUGAGCUGCAUCGCGCUAAGCUCGAAUCCCAGGAGAUGUCUUUGUUGAUGCAUAAGCUGUGACCUAAAAUAUUGACUUUAUAAAGUAAUUGAAUCCCAGAAUCAUGUUUCAGAUGAAAAGCGCUUGACAAAUGACUGUAGGAAGGAGCCGAGCCUGAAGACUGGGGCACAGAUGUGUUGGGAUUUACUCUGCUCAGCUCCUGCCUGCCUCUCCAGAAGAAAGUCCCCACCAGGCUGGCCCGAUCCAGGCUCUGGGUGAAUUAUGGGGACUGCAGAGGCCAUCUCCUAAUUCAGGCUAUCUGUCUUGGAGAGAAGCUCAGAAGAGGGGGACGCUCCAGGGCAAGAUGGCAUUGUGGUGUUGGGAGCAGUAAGGCAUAAAGUCUGGGUUGCCUCCUGCCUUGGGAGCCCACAGAUUUUGGAAAUGGGCUGAGCCUGUGGGAUGGGCACCUGUGUUGCAAGAAACUCCAUGAGUGUUGGUGGUAACAGGGGUGAUGGUGCUGGGAAGGGAAGGAUGAAUUAAUCUCAUGUAGAAGGCCUAAUGAGGAGACAGUUUGUACUUAUUGACGGCUUUCAGGGGUAGUCUUCCUUCAUCUUGAGUGGUUGUGCCCUGAGGACUUCUAAUCCAGGAGAAAAAAAGGUAAGGAGAUGGUGUUGGACCACUCCUGUCCAACUUGGCAGUAAACGUCCUGUCUUUGUGCUGGAAAACAUGAAAAUCCUCAAAGUUUCACUAGAGAUGUGUUCAGAAGAUGCUGUUGGGAGAGGGCUCUCUCCAGUGAUGUAACAAGCUGCAGUUUGCUUCAAACUUUAAGUAUUAUAAAUGUGGCUGAUGUAAUUCUAUUUCAAAAAGCCUUAGAGGCUUGCAAUAAUAAACAGAGCCUUUUAGUACCAGGUUAUUGAUGCAAAAUAGUUUAGCAAACUGGGUUGCUGAAGUGCAAAUGCCAUGUAUUAUUCAUUAAACUCUUUCUUUCCACAAAUCAUUGCUUUCCAUGGCGUAAUGUUCCCCGGUAGCACCACUCUUCGGGAAGCUCUUUGGUGUGAGCCAAAUGUGGAGCCUCAGACCCAUCCAUCAGGACGAGCCGUUGGUUACGUUGUUGUCUUCCAAAUGGAGUUCAUAAUGGGCAAAGAGGUUUAAUUAAUGCUUCAGAGUAAUGUGUCUGUUUAUAAAGAAAUAAUGUACUAUAAAAUUAGGCAAUGCAUAGUGAAAUGUACCUUCUAAUGGGUAGGCUGGCAUUUUAAGUGAUCAGUAAAUCACUUAAAUAUUAAGACCUUCUUGAACAAGGAUAAUAAAGCAAGAGAUUUGGAAAUGGUAGAUACCAGUACUUACAAUUAUCCACUAAAUAAAACAUUUUUAUAGUGAU